UGCUUGGGAGCUGGGGACUCAGUGUCAGGCUGGCGGUGUCCUGCUGCAGAUGAUGUGGGGGUUUGUUCUCCAUCUCUUCCUGAUGGUGGGAGGUGCUUCAGGACAAGGCGUGGAGCAGCCUGCCGAGUGGAUGUCUCUGGAGGGAACCUCUGCUCAGGUCAACUGCACGUACAGCACGUCAGGGUUCAACGGGCUAUCCUGGUACCGGCAACACGAAGGCCAAGCACCUGAAUUUCUUUCUUAUGAUGUCUUGGAUGGUCUGAAGGACAGUGGGCGUUUUUCUACAUUCCUGAGCCGCUCAGAGAGAAUGAGAAUUUCUUAUAUAUUUCUUAUAUUAAAUCCAGCAAGCAGUUUGUCUGCAGAGGUGUGGACAUUCCAUUUCAUAGAUAAGAGGGAGGUGUUGCUUCCUCCUGGACCCACUGAGAGGCACUUGCUGAGGAACUGGACCAUCGCUUGUUUCUGCCGCAUGGACAAUGGAAGUUCUGCUGUCUGUUCACCAGGUGGACUCUGGGGUUAA